GGGAGUGGCAGCCUGAACGGAUCAUCAGGAGUGAUCAUACACAAGCAGCAGUUAAUAACUUAUCACUUCAAGAACUUCCAGUGAACUUGCAGAUUUGUUUGCAGAACUUGGAGACAGCCGUUACUGUGGAUGAGAAACUCUGGACGAGUAAAUGCAUCAUUUUAAACUCUGUAAAAUAUGCAGUUGGAGAUUUCUUCAUUUUGGAACUUGUGCAUGCAGAGCAAAUUCCACUGUUUGUGAAAAUAGACCUGAUUGUGUAUAUCAGGGCAAACUGGUUUCUUGUUGGAAGACUUUUCACAACACUGGAGUUUAUAAGACACCUUCAAUCAUACCACAUCAGAGAGACUGAUGAUCUGUUGAUAUUCAAGCCUGGGGAUGAGGUAGACUUUCAUGCUUUGGACGCAUACAGAUGUGAUGGUCAAGACUUCAUUACACUGAUCCACCGACCUUUUAAGGCAGUCCAUACCAAAGUUAGUGGAAGGCAACACAAAGAAAAGCAUACUGUGCCAGCACUCCAACCUAUGUUUAACUGCAAAGUGCAGUUUCCUCCAGCUGUGCUCACUGCGUUGACCAAUAAAGAUGCAGCACUAAAGUCACCCACCAAGAACAGACUCAAAAACAUGCUUAUUCAAGCACUGUUUGACCACUUGAGUAAUGAGACAAUGUAUCCCUCUCAUGUGCAGUAUGUAGAGCUUCUGAGGACUGUCCUUCUGAGUUUUCCUUUUUUGAAGGAGAGUUAUGGCUCUGGAUAUGAUGCUCUGCAUGAGUCUCUCAGGAACAAGUUUAAAAAGGAAAGAAGACCACUAGUAGACAUAGAGGAAAUUGAAAAAAUGAGACAGAAAUACUCAGUUCCAAAUUCAGGAAGAAAAAGAUCAUCAGAUGUCCAGCCCUGUAUCCUUUUGAAAAAAACCAAGGAUAUCAAUCCUUUUGACGAUGGGGCGGAUGAAAGGAGCACCGACCAACAUGUAUCAGUGAUUAAGCAAGAGUGCCAAAAAACUAGGCCAAAUGUGGAUGUCAUUCGAACGCACCUCAGGAAAAUACAGAAGUACAGAACACACUACAUUCUUCAGCAUACUACUGAAGAGGUUCUAUGAGAAUUCCCAUGUCUCACUAUCCCUGUUGUGCUUCUUGAAGAGGCUUCCAUGUUACUUAAAAAUGAUGUGGACAAAAAAGUAAUCCGAGGAUUCAGUAAGUUGGCAGCAAAGCUUGUGUCAAUAGCCCCAAACAGCAACCUUAAAAGCCUCUGCUUAAAAUCUGUUGAUGAGAGCCAGACAGACACUGAAAGAAAAGGUCAGAUAGUAAACACAGCUGUUCUUCUCCUGCCAUCUAUUUUCAAAGAAAAUGCCUCUCAUCUCUUCGUCAUAAAUAAGGAUCCACACAGCCCAAUACCUACAAUCGUACUCAGCAGCAGUGACGGCAAGCCCUUGAGUGAUUCAACUGAGGUCAAUGUCCAGAUGGAUGGACAAAAAAUUAUUCUGGACAGUGGGGAAAUGGACAUUUCAUUGGCGAUGGGUAUUGUCUUCUCCCUGUACCAUGUCUACAAUGUUGCCUAUCCAAGUGAACUAAAAAAGACAUUUUGCUUUUUGGAGGCAUUUGUUCUCAACUUGGGAACUCUGACUACACCUGUACCAGUAGCUGUGCAAAGAGUGGCAAAUGCAUUAAAUAUCUCCUAGAUUGCCAGCAUAGUGCAGGUGAGAGACUGAAAUUGUCCCAAUGUGGACUAACAAAGGACCAUGAGUCAUCACAUUAAACUUAACUUACAUAACUUAAGGCUGCAGUUCAUUGAUAAUUUAAAUAAAAAGAUUGUUCUUGAAAUAGUUUUACUGAAAAUGCAAAC
ensembl:lncRNA